UACGGAGGGUGCAAGCGUUAAUCGGAAUUACUGGGCGUAAAGCGUGCGUAGACGGUUAUUUAAGUCGGAUGUGAAAGCCCCGGGCUCAACCUGGGAAUUGCAUUCGGGACUGAAUAGCUAGGGUACGGUAGAGGGAAGUGGAAUUUCCGGUGUAGCGGUGAAAUGCGUAGAUAUCGGAAGGAACAUCAGUGGCGAAAGCGACUUCCUGGACCAGUACCGACGUUCAGGCACGAAAGCGUGGGGAGCAAACAGG
rnacentral:rRNA from 1 species